GAGGAAUCUUCCACAAUGGGCGAAAGCCUGAUGGAGCAACGCCGCGUGCAGGACGAAGGCCUUCGGGUUGUAAACUGCUUUUAUUUGUGAAGAAUAUGACGGUAACAAAUGAAUAAGGGUCGGCUAACUACGUGCCAGCAGCCGCGGUCAUACGUAGGACCCAAGCGUUAUCCGGAGUGACUGGGCGUAAGGAGUUGCGUAGGUGGUUAUAUAAGUGAAUAGUGAAAGCCGGCGGCUCAACCGUACGGACUAUUAUUCAAACUGUAUAACUCGAGAAUGGUAGAGGUUACUGGAAUUUCUUGUGUAGGAGUGAAAUCCGUAGAUAUAAGAAGGAACACCAAUGGCGUAGGCAGGUAACUGGACCAUUUCUGACACUAAGGCACGAAAGCGUGGGGAGCGAAC
rnacentral:rRNA from 1 species